rnacentral:tRNA from 1 species
GGCUGGGUGGCUCAGUGGUUUGAGAGCCAAGCCUAGAGGUUGGAAGGUCCUAGGUUCGAAUCCGGGCUUCAGCCA